rnacentral:rRNA from 1 species
AUUGAACGCUGGCGGCAGGCCUAACACAUGCAAGUCGAGCGGUAGCACAGGAGAGCUUGCUCUCUGGGUGACGAGCGGCGGACGGGUGAGUAAUGUCUGGGAAACUGCCUGAUGGAGGGGGAUAACUACUGGAAACGGUAGCUAAUACCGCAUAAUGUCGCAAGACCAAAGAGGGGGACCUUCGGGCCUCUUGCCAUCAGAUGUGCCCAGAUGGGAUUAGCUAGUAGGUGGGGUAACGGCUCACCUAGGCGACGAUCGCUAGCUGGUCUGAGAGGAUGACCAGCCACACUGGAACUGAGACACGGUCCAGACUCCUACGGGAGGCAGCAGUGGGGAAUAUUGCACAAUGGGCGCAAGCCUGAUGCAGCCAUGCCGCGUGUAUGAAGAAGGCCUUCGGGUUGUAAAGUACUUUCAGCGAGGAGGAAGGCAUUGUGGUUAAUAACCACAGUGAUUGACGUUACUCGCAGAAGAAGCACCGGCUAACUCCGUGCCAGCAGCCGCCGUAA